AGUCUUCUCAUUAUCCACAGAACAGGUGCGGCAUGGGAGGCAGCAGGACAAGUUUUUCAGCAUUGAUCUGACAAGCUUGCCUUUAGCAAUAAGAUGCCCGUUUUCUGUGACAGAUAAAUUGUUGAUCUCCUCAUGGAGUCUGCAAUUUGUGGUGAUAGGAGCAGU
ensembl:misc_RNA